AUUCCCUUUUUUGUCAUAAGAACAUAAACGUACCAAGCGUCACGUUCCCUGAUUGGGAUCUAAAUUCUGUGGGUCUGACUUGCGACUUACAACAGGGGGCUUUAUUUUUAACUCAUGUGACAAGCACAUGUUACAGGUGGUGGUAGUAAGGAGGGAUUCUGCCUAUUCAGCAUCAGUGGCAGAAAUGGACGUGGAAGAAGUGACGUUCUGUAGAGGCUGGAGAUCCUCAGACUCUUCAUAAGAAUAACCCACAGGCUGCCUAGAAAUUCAGCUUUCUAGGCUCAGCUCCACAAUUUUGCAAUUUUGUAUUAGCCAGUAAGGGGUAGAGUCCCAGAAAUCUUCAUUUUUAACUAGCAUUUCAGCUGAUCCUGAUAUAAGUGGUUAAGAUAAUUUGAGAGCCUCUGGUUUCCUGACAGUACAUUUUUAACAUAGUAAGCAUGCAAAUAUAUAAUGUCAGCAGCAUCCUCUGAGUUGAUGUAAAGGGGCAGGCCAUGGAGAUAAUCUUGGAUUUGGGUCAGGCUACUCUUGGGAAUAUCGGAUAAAACAUUUGUUGAUAUUCCUCUCAGCUUGCCUAAGAAUCAUUCAAAGCCAUUGAUUAAGCUCUCACUGUUGCCCAACAUUGAAUUCAGGGCUUGGGAGGGCAUGAAGGAAUGAGGAGUAGUGUGUGAACCUGAGAAGGCUAGGAAGUCAAACCUUACACAUAGCCCCUGGCACAGAAGCUAAGCCUUAAGCCUGUCCUUGCUUCUCCCAGUUUACUUGCCACAGACUGGGACUCCAGCUGGGCUUCACCUUCCUCUGGAAGACAUUCCAAGGGCUGACCCUCUCCCUUGGGUUCCUAGUUAGCAUUAAAACCACAGAGCAAGAUGAAGAAGAUUUGAGAGAGCUUGGCUAAGGCUGGCUUUCUCAUCUUCCUUAGGAGCACCAAAUCUUGGACCCCAUUCAAUUCUGUAUGCCCCCUGCCCAGUUCUGCACUUGAACAUUGCAGGUGGUCAGUAACAUUUGAUGAAAGAAUGAAUGAAUGAAUUGCUGGCUACACAGCCAUGUCAGAGUUUCUCAUGGAGGCAGCAUAGCAUGAUGGUCAGGAGUGCACAUUCACGAAUCAGUCAGCCUGUGCUUUACCCCCUCCUCUUCCAUUUGUUUACAGUGACUUUGGGCACAGAUUCUUUGCAGAUCUUCCCCUUCAGAGGAAGAAUCCAUUUCUCUACCCACGUCUCCAUAAAUCAGGGCUGGCCUUGGGACUUGCUUAGACCAACAGGCUAUGCUAGGAGUGAAUAACAUGAGGCAGGUUAUGACAAAGUGCUUCUGACAUUGGCUGGGAGCCCCAGUAUCCCAU
rnacentral:lncRNA from 1 species